GAAAUGCACAGGGAUUUUGUUAUUAAUCAUUUUACGAUACAUAUUUGUACGUAAGCAAUGGCGGAGGACCAGAGCAGCUAUCAUCAAUAAUUAACAACAAUUUGUGUUCAAUGUAGUAAAUCAUCACAAAGCUCUUUCGCCAGCUACUGUUUCCAUUGUCAAAGCCCCACUUCGACAGGGAGAAAUGGAAGAAAAAAAAAGAAAUUAUAAAAUAAACUUUAUCAAAUGUAUAAGAUGUCAUUAAAAACCUGUAUCCACAAUGAAAUGAUCUUGCAAAGUAUCCCCCCAAAUAUUAGUUAUCUAGCAAGUUAAUAAUUUAAAACUCAUCAGAACAGACCAGUUAUGAUUAACGGUUGAUGACAAAUGCAAAAAAAAGUUGGGAGAUUUAAACAGGAGACACUUUGCAGCAGUGGCUGCUUAAUCACAAUUUCAUUUCUCUGGAAAACCAAUAAAUUGUUUAGCAUUAACUUAACACAAGAGUACCAACUGUGUGGAUUUUUUUACUAUUGUUUUAUUGAGUAUUUGUAUGCCAAGGAGUAUGCUGAUUCUAAUCUUGAUCAACAAUGAGAAUAUUCAGUCUAUUCGCUGAAGAGCAUGAUCACUACCACUCGUCAAUCUUCCCCAGCAGUUAAAGGCUUGCAUUUCUGCCGCCUCCUGGAAUGAACUUUAUUCUUUCAGAGGAGUUGGCCAUGAAGAUGGUCGAGAUUAGGAGGAGGAGGGAGGGUGAUAGAGAAGGUGAUAAAGGGAAAGAGGAAGGAGAAAGGAUGAGGGAGGGAAUGGUAAUGUUGAUGGAGGAGAUGGGUAGAGGGGAGAGCAUAUGAAGGAGAGGAGAUGAAGGGAGGGAGAUGGUAAAGGGAGGGGGGAGGGUGAAAGGGAGGAUCAGAUAAAGGAAAGGAUGGAGUGGAAAAGGAUAGGAAGGAGGCAAGAGGAAGAGGAAGGAAGAAUGGACGAAGGAAAAAUAAGUAGGAGAGGAUGGGAAAAGGGGAAAGUAGUGAAAACAGGUUUAGGGAGGAAGGAGUAAUGGAAAGGAGCAGAGGGGUAGAAAAGAUGGGAGAGACUGGGAGGUGACAGGGGGGAGAACAUGGGAACGGCAAGGGCUAGGGUGGAACAGGAGGCUGAAGGAGUGGGGAGAAAGGAUGGAAGGGAGAGGAGGAACAAGAAGGGAGGGAUCGGGAUUGGAGAAAGGCGGGAGAACAUAGAGGGGAGGAGGGAGGGAAGAAGUGAAAAAGAGAAAACGUGCAUAUAGACAGGAAAGGGGAUAUGGGGAGAAGUGGUGAGGGAGGAUGUGAAGGGGAAAUGUGGAGUUAGGAGAGUGGGUGGGAUUGUGUGAGAGCCAGAGUGAAGGAUAAGGAUGUAUAAUAAGAAAGGAAGUUCGCUGAGAAUAUCAGGAGAAGAUAUGUGUGGAGCAAUAUGUGUGUAACCUGAUAUGUGUGUAACCUGUGUGGAGCAAUAUGUUCGAUUUAGAUGCAAGCAAAACUGAGGAAUUCGACCGGUGCUGGGUCUCUAAGCACCACGGAUAGCUCCAGGUUGUUUAUAUGUGAAUUUGGCUGCUAUGUUUCCUCAGCUUACAACAGUAAUCACAGUUCAAGACGUACUCACGGAUCGAGAGGCUCUCGGGGACAAACUAUAGAUGCAACCUUUCCGCACUGUAUCUCCUGCACUGCGGCCUUAACAUCGUGGAGCUGGCAGUCCCUUUGUUAGGGAUCGACUUUGGGAGCUCCAACGGCAGGGGCUUCGAGCGCCCUGAUUGCGGAUGUUUCAAUUGCCCCGACUGCGGGAGAUGAGGAAAGAUGGUUUACGUCAUUUGCCUUCCAUCAUGGUGGGGAAUGUGAGGUCGCUGAAAAACAUGAUGGACCUGCUGCCUGCGUUGGUGGGGACUCAGAGGGAUUGCCGUGAGUGCAGUGAUCUUGGUGGGUGCAGGGACAUCACUCCAUGAGAACUUCCUGGCAUCUGCUGCGAGUGCGGAGGACUUUCUGACUGUUCGGGCGGACAGGGACUGCAGAGGAGUGACAGCGAUCGGUACAACUCUAAUCACAUCAUGAAGAGCGUGUGUGUGUGUGUGUGUGUGUGUGUGGCCCGGCCAUUGAGCUGAUGGCUGUGGGUCUCUACUAAUGCAGUGAGCCAUGGGGGUUCUCACAUGCUGCUGUGGUGGCUGUUUAAGUGUAUGUUUAAUCUUUAUGUAGUAAUGUGUCUUGUUGUUUUUUUCUUUGUACGACGAUAGUAAAUCAAAUUUCACUGCACCUCAGUACACAUGACAAUAAAGGACCAUUGAACCAACUCAAUAUGUGUACGAAGGAACUGCAGAUGCUGGUUUACACUGAAGAUAGACACAAAAUGCUGUAAUAACUCAGUGGGUCAAACAGCAUCUCUGGAGAAAAGGAAUAGGGAAGGAGCAAACUAUACUCUAUACUCCAUACUCCGACUGAUGAAGGCCAAUGUGCCAAAAGUUUUCUUGACCGCCUCUCCACCUACAACACUGCUUUCAAUGAACUAUUCAUCUGCACCUCUAGA